rnacentral:misc_RNA from 1 species
AACGCACAUUGCGCCCCUUGGUAUUCCGGGGGGCAUGCCUGUCCGAGCGUCAUUAGCACCCCUCAAGCGUCAGCUUGGUCUUGGCCCGUGCCGGUGACGGUAGGGCCCAAACGCAGUGGUGGUGCCUCGAAGGCCCUGAACGUAGUAAUUGCUCCUCGUUCCUGGACCCUGGAGGCUGCUCACCAGCAACCCUAAUUUCAUCAUGGUUGACCUCGGAUCAGGUAGGGAUACCCGCUGAACUUAA